rnacentral:tRNA from 1 species
UGGGUUGUGGCUCAGCGGUAGAGUGCUCGCCUAGCAUGUGUGAGGCGCUGCAUUCGAUCCUCAGCACCACAU